rnacentral:rRNA from 1 species
AUUGAACGCUGGCGGCAGGCCUAACACAUGCAAGUCGCACGAGUGGCGGACGGGUGAGUAAUGUCUGGGAAUCUGCCCGAUGGAGGGGGAUAACUACUGGAAACGGUGGCUAAUACCGCAUACCAUCGGAUGUGCCCAUAUGGGAUUAGCUAGUAGGUGGGGUAAAGGCUCACCUAGGCGACGAUCUCUAGCUGGUCUGAGAGGAUGACCAGCCACACGGGAACUGAGACAUGGUCCAGACUGCUACGGGAGGCAGCAGGGGGGAAUAUUGCACAAUGGGCGCAAGCCUGAUGCAGCCAGGCCGCGUGUAGGAAGAAGGCCUUAGGGUUGGAAAGUACGUUCAGCGGGGAGGCGUUACCCGCAGAAGAAGCACCGGCUAACUCCGUGCCAGCAGCCGCGGUAAUAC